rnacentral:RNase_P_RNA from 1 species
UAAGUAAGACAGACAAUCGCGGCUGCGGGAGCCGAAAGGCUGCAGACGAGGAAAGUCCGGGCUUCACAGGGCAGGAUGCCGGAUAACGUCCGGUGGAGGUGACUCCAAGGCCAGUGCAACAGAAAUAAACCGCCCUAUGUCUUUGUGUACUGAUAAGCUCAUAGAUUUCGGCUUGUCAGUACACAAAGACAUGGGGUAAGGGUGGAAAGGCAGUGUAAGAGACUACCGCCUCUCUGGUAACAGCGAGGGCACAUGUAAACCCCAUCCGAAGCAAGACCGGAAGAAAGCGAUGUGGCGGCCCGUCACGCUUUAGGUAGGUCGCUUGAGCCUGGCGGCGACGCCGGGCCUAGAUAGAUGAUUGUCCAACGACAUAACCCGGCUUAUCGUCUUGCUUAAAUC